rnacentral:tRNA from 1 species
GCCCUGGUAGUGUAGCCAGGUUUAGCAUGAAGCCCUGUCGAGGCUUCGACCCGGGUUCAAAUCCCGGCCAGGGCG